rnacentral:rRNA from 1 species
AUUGAACGCUGGCGGAAUGCUUUACACAUGCAAGUCGAACGGUAGAGGGGGCAACCCCUCGAGAGUGGCGAACGGGUGAGUAAUAUAUCGGAACGUGCCCAGUCGUGGGGGAUAACGUAGCGAAAGUUACGCUAAUACCGCAUACGAUCUAAGGAUGAAAGCGGGGGCUCUUCGGACCUCGCGCUAACAGAUGAGCCUAGGUCGGAUUAGCUAGUUGGUGGGGUAAUGGCCCACCAAGGCGACGAUCCGUAACUGGUCUGAGAGGAUGAUCAGUCACACUGGAACUGAGACACGGUCCAGACUCCUACGGGAGGCAGCAGUGGGGAAUAUUGGACAAUGGGCGAAAGCCUGAUCCAGCCAUGCCGCGUGUGUGAAGAAGGUCUUCGGAUUGUAAAGCACUUUAAGUCGGGAGGAAGGACUGUAGGCUAAUACCUUGCAGUUUUGACGUUACCGACAGAAUAAGCACCGGCUAACUUCGUGCCAGCAGCCGCAGUAA